UACGUAGGGGGCGAGCGUUGUCCGGAAUCAUUGGGCGUAAAGCGCGUGUAGGCGGCUCGUUAAGUCCGGUGUGAAACCUUGGGGCUCAACCCCAAGCCUGCACUGGAUACUGACGAGCUCGAGUCCGGGAGGGGAGAGCGGAAUUCCUAGUGUAGCGGUGAAAUGCGCAGAUAUUAGGAAGAACACCGGUGGCGAAGGCGGCUCUCUAGUACGGUACUGACGCUGAGACGCGAAAGCGUGGGGAGCGAACAGG
rnacentral:rRNA from 1 species